rnacentral:rRNA from 1 species
UACGUAGGGUGCGAGCGUUAAUCGGAAUUACUGGGCGUAAAGCGUGCGCAGGCGGUGAUGUAAGACAGAUGUGAAAUCCCCGGGCUUAACCUGGGAACUGCAUUUGUGACUGCAUAGCUGGAGUACGGCAGAGGGGGAUGGAAUUCCGCGUGUAGCAGUGAAAUGCGUAGAUAUGCGGAGGAACACCGAUGGCGAAGGCAGUCCCCUGGGCCUGUACUGACGCUCAUGCACGAAAGCGUGGGGAGCAAACAGG